rnacentral:rRNA from 1 species
GACGUAGGGCGCGAGCGUUGUCCGGAUUUAUUGGGCGUAAAGAGCUCGUAGGCGGCUUGUCGCGUCGUCCGUGAAAACUUGGGGCUCAACCCCAAGCUUGCGGUCGAUACGGGCAGACUAGAGGUAUGCAGGGGAGAACGGAAUUCCUGGUGUAGCGGUGAAAUGCGCAGAUAUCAGGAGGAACAGCCGGUGGCGAAGGCGGUCUCUGGGCAUUACCUGACGCUGAGGAGCGAAAGUGUGGGGAGCGAACAGG